UCUCUCUAAAGUUGAAUAUCUGUUCUUCUAUCUCUGAAACUAGUCUUUCUUCUUCUACCUUUACUUUUCCAGCAAUCUUUCUUCCUUUCUCUUUUCCUUCAGAUUCCUAUUAGAACCUUCCCUUCUCAUAUAUAAUUACUGUAUAGUGCUCUUGCAUAGUUCACGAAAUCAUCUCACAGCUACCUGAUGAGUUUUUAUCUGUGUUUUUGUUUAUGUGCGUGUGUGUUCGAGAUCUUCUAGGUACAUGUAGGUAGCUAGACCCGAUUGCCACCUAACAUUCAUCGUACACACAAACACAUAAUCCACAUGAAUCCACCCAAUACUAUAGUUGGUUGAACCUUCUGUUAAUUCUUGCGGUUCAUAUUUUGUUCUUCUUCCUCCUCCUCCUCCUUCCCUUUAAGCUUAUUUUAAACCCUCUCUCUCUCUCUCUGUUCACACACACAUACUAUUUUCCAUUGAACCGUAUAUUCUUUUAGGGUUCCUCAGGUAAUCCUAUUUCGGAGAUAUCUACAAUAUUGUCGACCUUCUUUCUUUGGGGUUAUGCUAUUUCAACCCAAGAUUUGAAAGAUCAGUGGUUUAAUGUAUGAUUAGCAGAUCAGAUAACGUUCAUAUAUGCAUACGUAUAUAUAUUGGAGGAAAUUUCUGGAAGCUUCCAUAUGGGUGCGUUUGAUUCGAUCAAGUCAUUGUUUGCAGGUGCAUCAUCAUCAAGAUUCACACACAGAAUCUUUGGUUCUCACAGGUGUCUUGAGAAUCUUGAUGAUGCUGCAUCAGCAAUAAAUGAUUAAUAUUAACUUCUUUCUCAUGAUUAAUUACGAGCUCAGUCACUCCUCUGCUUCAAUAUUUUGUAUUAGGCGAUCGAUUAUAUGUUCUUAAUUUAGGGUUUUAAAAUUUAAAUGAUGUAAUUAACAAGAAAUUGAAUCUCCAUGAAGUGCCGUAUAUCUCUGUCACUGCAUAUACUUGUGGGUGUUUCUUUUUUCAGGUUUAAUUAUCCUUUGCGGAAGAUACGAGGUUUACGAAAUCUUAGGUUUAUUGUUCUUGUCAAUGUACAGGUACAGAACGUUGGGAAAAAUAAAAAAUGUACAGGUACAGAACUGUUUUAUAUAUAAGAAUAGAAAACCAUGAAAGCCUAUCAAUAUAUGUUUGCUGAAGAAAUUUACCUAUUGGUGGGUUGUUAAUUACUUUAACCAGAUCCUCAUUUCGUCUCUGAAGAAAACUAAAUCUAUCUUCUUCUGGUAUGUUAUGAUCCACAUAAAAAUGCUAUAUCUGCAGUAUCUAAAUAACUAAAUAACCUAGAAUGUGAUUAUUAUUUAAUCAUUUACAUUUGUACAUGUCUAUUAUCUAUAUAUAUGCAUCCUGCUCGGCCUGGUGAUUGGUUAUAGCUUGCUGUUUCACCAUCAGUUAGCAGUACUUAUUGUGCUGAUCAUGAACAUUAAUAUAAUUACAAGUGAGUUCAUCAUCAGUAAUUGAAUAUUAAUCCCAAAUUGAAGUUGGUAUCUAAUUAAUUAAUGUUGCUUCAUCAAUUAUUGAGUUUUGGUGCAAUCGAGUAACACUUGAAUGUGUGCUGUACCUGGAUACUCAAUUAUAUCUCAUUUCCAUUAUGAAUGUGUACUUGAUGAGUAUCAGUCAAAUGACUUGAGAUACCUUGUGUCACUUUGUAAAAACAAAACAAAAAGAACAAGAAAGUAAUAAAUUGAAAGUUGAAGAACCAAAAUAUAUAUAUAUAUAUAUAUAUUUACCACAGUUCAUCAUUCUUAACCUGACCUUUUACCACUUACCACAAGAAACACUGCACCGAGGAAUAUUAUUAUUGAUUGAGUUUCUCUGUGCUAAAUAAAGCCAAAACAAGGGGUAAAGUAUAAUCAAGUGAUUAAAGUACUUAAUUAUAAGUGAAAAAGAGAGAUGUGCAGUGAGGCAACAGCUAAUAGAUCACAUGUAAGCAUGAGACAGCACCAACCACAUAUAUAUACCAAACAAAAAUGCAACACAACAACAACUAAACUACUCAUCUUUGGCUCUCUCUCUCUCUCUCUCUCACACACACACACAAGAGCAUAAUUACUUUGGGUAUUAUACACACACAUAGUUUCUCCCAAUUAAAUGAUUAUACAUAUCCAGAUAUGCCAGCUAUCAUUUACUCAAGAGUGUGCAUUUAUACACACUGAAUUAGAGCUGUCAAAAUGAAUCAGAACUCGCUAAUUUGAUUAUUAGAGACUUCCUUUAAAAUUUAUAAUCAAACAAAUUCAUCUCUUUUGAGCGGGAAGUUAUAUGAGCUAACUUGCGAGUUAAGUGGGUUGGCUCUUUUAACUCACUAUGAUAUUAAAAAAAAAUUAAAGAUCUUUUUGUAUAUUGGCUUUUAAGUUUUGAAUGAGUAUAGAAGUUCUCUUUUUCUAGAUAAUGUGCCCGAGCUCUUAUAUAUUGUCUAUGCUCACAAAGUCACGAUUGACUACAUGGUUUACAAUAUAAUGAUAUAGAUUGUAAUUUUUUACUAUGUGUUUUGGUAGUUAUGCUUAACUUUCUUAUCCUUCCUUUAAUUUUUAUUAUUAUUCAAUUACAGAAGAUGUUUUGCAUGGCGGAGCAGGAGAUAUUGGUAUAUAUAGAUGAUGGCAAUGCUGCAUCUAGAAGAGAAAUUGCGAAUGUUGUUGAAGUUUAACCAAGGCAUUAAUUCGAUCUAGGAUAUUUGAACAUUUCUAAUUUUUUGUGUUAGAAAUUAGAAAAUAAACUGUUGAAGGAUAUAUAUUUAUUUUUUAAGUUACAAAUUUUUAGAGAGUAAA